GGAGGCAAACACCGAGCUCCCCCUGAGCCGCCUGGGAGCAGGGAGGGUUCUGCUACCCUGAGGGGCCCUCCCCGCGGGGCAGAGGGGUUUCCUCAGCAGUGCCCCGGAGCAGGGACCGCGCCAGCCAGCAGAAACAGCUAGUUGUUGUCUGCAGUGAAGAAUAAUUGGAAGCAUGGUGCCUGUUUCUUUUCCUGUGGGAGGAAGUCACAGCAUCUACUUCUGAAUCUGUGCUUGCCUUGAGGAAAAACGGCAUGGCACAGGAAUGUGGACGCUUUCAACCAGAGGAUUCUGUACGACGGUGUCGGCACACAAGGAGUGUUCCACUGACUGACCUCUUUUUGUUUUCAAAUGAAGAGGAGCCAAGAAUAGGACAGCUUGGGAAGGUGAGCUGCGUAUAGCUCGUCAGGCUGAGCUCAUCCUCGUCUACGGCCAAACGUUGGUUUCUCAUUUCUAGAAGAUGAAAGAUGUGAUGACUCAGGAAAAACUUGCUGCUCGAGAUGUGAGUCUUCAGAUGUUCCUGCCGCCAUAUCUGACAGCUGCUGCCAAGAUUCCCUGGUGGGAUGGACUCUUAUACCUCAACAACCAGAAGCCCAAGUAAACUCUUCUAUAAAUUGAAUGACUCAUGCUUAAAAAAAAAAACAAAAAACAAACU
ensembl:processed_transcript 2210408F21Rik RIKEN cDNA 2210408F21 gene